rnacentral:rRNA from 1 species
UACGUAGGGUGCGAGCGUUGUCCGGAAUUAUUGGGCGUAAAGGGCUCGUAGGCGGUUUGUCGCGUCGGGAGUGAAAACCUCGGGCUUAACUCGGGGCAUGCUUUCGAUACGGGCAGACUGGAGGUAUGCAGGGGAGAACGGAAUUCCUGGUGUAGCGGUGAAAUGCGCAGAUAUCAGGAGGAACACCGGUGGCGAAGGCGGUUCUCUGGGCAUGACCUGACGCUGAGGAGCGAAAGUGUGGGGAGCGAACAGG